rnacentral:rRNA from 2 species
GAUUGACCUCGGAUCAGGUAGGGAUACCCGCUGAACUUAAGCAU